UACGGGGGAUGCAAGCGUUAUCCGGAAUCAUUGGGCGUAAAGCGCCUGUAGGUUGUUUAAUAAGUCUGUUGUUAAAGCCUAGGGCUCAACCCUAGAUAAGCAAUGGAAACUAAUAGACUAGAGUAUGGCAGGGGUAGGGGGAAUUUCUAGUGUAGCGGUGAAAUGCGUAGAUAUUAGAAAGAACACCGGUGGCGAAAGCGCCCUACUGGACCAUUACUGACACUCAGAGGCGAAAGCUAGGGUAGCAAAAGGGAUUAGAUACCCCUGUAGUCCUAGCCGUAAACGAUGGAUACUAGAUGUUGUGCAUUAUGUACAGUAUCGUAGCUAACGCGUUAAGUAUCCCGCCUGGGGAGUACGCUCGCAAGGGUG
rnacentral:rRNA from 1 species